UCGCACCCAAAGACCAUCAAGGGAAGGUGAU
rnacentral:piRNA from 1 species